rnacentral:rRNA from 1 species
CCGUGGGCUGCAGUGAGGAAUAUUGGUCAAUGGGCGAGAGCCUGAACCAGCCAAGUCGCGUGAGGGAGUACUGCCCUAUGGGUUGUAAACCUCUUUUGUCGGGGAGCAAAAGCCGGACGUGUCCGGCUGUGAGAGUACCCGCAGAAAAAGCAUCGGCUAACUCCGUGCCAGCAGCCGCGGUAAUACGGAGGAUGCGAGCGUUAUCCGGAUUUAUUGGGUUUAAAGGGUGCGCAGGCGGAGGCACAAGUCAGCGGUAAAAUCGCGGGGCUCAACCCCGCUCCGCCGUUGAAACUGUGUCCCUUGAGUGCGCGAAGGGUAGGCGGAAUGCGUGGUGUAGCGGUGAAAUGCAUAGAUAUCACGCAGAACUCCGAUCGCGAAGGCAGCCUACCGGCGCGCAACUGACGCUCAUGCACGAAAGCGUGGGUAUCGAACAGGAUUAGAUACCCGGGUAGUC